GACGAACGCUGGCGGCGUGCCUAACACAUGCAAGUCGAGCGAAUGAAGUUCCUUCGGGAAUGGAUUUAGCGGCGGACGGGUGAGUAACACGUGGGCAACCUGCCUCAUAGAGGGGAAUAGCCUUCCGAAAGGGAGAUUAAUACCGCAUAAGAUUGUAGUAUCGCAUGAUACAGCAAUUAAAGGAGCAAUCCGCUAUGAGAUGGGCCCGCGGCGCAUUAGCUAGUUGGUGAGGUAACGGCUCACCAAGGCGACGAUGCGUAGCCGACCCGAGAGGGUGAUCGGCCACAUUGGGACUGAGACACGGCCCAGACUCCUACGGGAGGCAGCAGUGGGGAAUAUUGCACAAUGGGGGAAACCCUGAUGCAGCAACGCCGCGUGAGUGAUGACGGCCUUCGGGUUGUAAAGCUCUGUCUUCAGGGACGAUAAUGACGGUACCUGAGGAGGAAGCCACGGCUAACUACGUG
rnacentral:rRNA from 1 species